AUUGAACGCUAGCGGGAUGCCUUACACAUGCAAGUCGAACGGAGUGGCGAACGGGCGGGUAAUGUAUCGGAACGUGCCCAGUAGCGGGGGAUAACUACGCGAAAGCGUAGCUAAUACCGCAUACUAUUGGAACGGGCGAUAUCGGAUUAGCUAGUUGGUGGGGUAACGGCUCACCAAGGCGGCGAUCCGUAGCUGGUUUGAGAGGACGAGCAGCCACACUGGGACUGAGACAGGGCCCAGACGACGACGGGAGGCAGCAGUGGGUAAUGUUGGGCAAGGGGGGAAACCCUGAUCCAGCCAUCCCGCGUGUGCGAUGAAGGCCUUCGGGUUGUAAAGAACUUUUGGCAGGAAAGCGGUACCUGCAGAAUAAGCACCGGCUAACUACGUGCCAGCAGCCGCGGUAAUAC
rnacentral:rRNA from 1 species